UACGUAGGGGGCGAGCGUUGUUCGGAAUUACUGGGCGUAAAGGGAGCGUAGGCGGACAGCUAAGUCAGAGGUGAAAGCCCAGGGCUCAACCCUGGAAUUGCCUUUGAUACUGGCUGUCUUGAGUAUGGGAGAGGUGUGUGGAACUCCGAGUGUAGAGGUGAAAUUCGUAGAUAUUCGGAAGAACACCAGUGGCGAAGGCGACACACUGGCCCAUUACUGACGCUGAGGCUCGAAAGCGUGGGGAGCAAACAGG
rnacentral:rRNA from 1 species